UCCGGUACGGCCUCUUCACCGCUCCGCAGGGCCACCCGGAACCGCUCGUCAGUUUUCCGGAUAUCCCUCUCUAUGGCUCCGCAGUAUUUCAGGACGCAUGAAGCGCCCCUCAGUCCUCCGAAGCCAGUCUCUAUGGUCGCGAGGUCCUCCGGGAACGGUGGAAGCGAUCAUCAGACUUCUAGAAAUCACGUGCUAUCUGCAUACUUCGAAAACUACAGACAAUGGUUUAACGAUUAACCAAAAAAUUAUCUGAAGAUUACAAAAAUUGGUGCUGCACGCGGGCUUGGAGGGGCGACGUCGCACGCCAACGAGCGGCUGGAGUCGGCACUGUCAGGCCGCGCUCAGAAGCGGGGACGGAUGAGCUGGGACUGGAAGUUUGGAUGAGCGUGGUUUUUAUAGGGACCACAAACGGUGACUGCUGAAGAGUCCAACUCUGGAAUCGGUGCAGAGCAGGUGAGCGGAACGACACAGCGCAUCUGAGGAGGGGGCUGCGGCCGGAAAAGUCCAUGUUGACCUUUGCGUUGCUCACUGUUGCGUGUGGAAUGGGUUGAUUCCUAGGGUUCUGUAGGGGCCUGCAGGUGCCUGUAGGGGUCUGCAGGGCUCUGUAGGGGUCCGUAGGUGUUUUCAGGGGUCUGCAGGGCUUCGUACGGGUCUGCAGGGGUCUGUAGGGGCCUGCAGGGGUCUGCUGUUUUUUGUAGGGGUC